rnacentral:rRNA from 1 species
GGGUGCUCGAGUGGCGAACGGGUGAGUAACACGUGAGUAACCUGCCCUUGACUUUGGGAUAACUUCAGGAAACUGGGGCUAAUACCGGAUAGGAGCUCCUGCUGCAUGGUGGGGGUUGGAAAGUUUGGCGGUUGGGGAUGGACUCGCGGCUUAUCAGCUUGUUGGUGGGGUAGUGGCUUACCAAGGCUUUGACGGGUAGCCGGCCUGAGAGGGUGACCGGCCACAUUGGGACUGAGAUACGGCCCAG